UACGGAGGGUGCAAGCGUUAAUCGGAAUUACUGGGCGUAAAGCGCACGCAGGCGGCUUGUUAAGUCAGAUGUGAAAUCCUCUGGCUCAACCUGGGAACUGCAUCUGAUACUGGCAAGCUUGAGGCUCGUAGAGGGGGGUAGAAUUCCAGGUGUAGCGGUGAAAUGCGUAGAGAUCUGGAGGAAUACCGGCGGCGAAGGCGGCCCCCUAGACGAAGACUGACGCUCAGGUGCGAAAGCGUGGGGAGCAAACAGG
rnacentral:rRNA from 1 species